UGCCAUCCGCCGCGGUAAUACUGAAGGUGCAAGCGUUAAUCGGAAUCACUGGGCGUAAAGCGCUCGUAGGUGGCUUUGUAAGUCAGAUGUGAAAGCCCACGGCUCAACCCUGGAACUGCCUUUGAUACUGCUAGUCUUGAGUUCGAGAGAGGUAAGUGGAAUUCCGAGUGUAGAGGUGAGAUUCGUAGAUAUUCGGAGGAACACCAGUGGCGAAGGCGACUUACUGGCUCGAUACUGACGCUGAGGUGCGAAAGUGUGGGGAGCAAACAGGAUUAGAUA
rnacentral:rRNA from 1 species